rnacentral:rRNA from 1 species
GACGAACGCUGGCGGCGUGCUUAACACAUGCAAGUCGAACGGAAAGGCGCUGCUUUUGCGGCUUUCUCGAUUGCCGAACGCGGGAGUAACACGUGAGGAUCCUGCCCUUGUCUUUGUGAGAACUUCAGGGAACUCGGGCGAAUAUCCGAGAUGAGCUCCUGCUCCACGGGGGGCGUUGGAAAGAGUCGGCGGUUGUGGAUGGUCUCGCUGGUUAUCAGCUUGAUGGGGUGGUAGUUGAUUACCAAGGCUUUGACGGGUAGCCUGCCUGAGAGGGUGACCGGCCACAUUGGGACUGAGGUACGGCGCAGACUCCUACCGGACGCAGUAGUGGGGAAUAUUGCACAAUGGGGGGAAGCCUGAUGUAGAAGUGCCGCGUGCGGGAUGCCGGCCUUCGGGUUGUAAACCGAUUUCGAAUGUGACGAGGAGUGAGUGACGGUAAUGGGUCAAGAAGCACCGGCUAACUACGUG